rnacentral:rRNA from 1 species
AUUGAACGCUGGCGGCAGGCCUAACACAUGCAAGUCGAGCGGAUGAAGGGAGCUUGCUCCUGGAUUCAGCGGCGGACGGGUGAGUAAUGCCUAGGAAUCUGCCUGGUAGUGGGGGAUAACGUCCGGAAACGGGCGCUAAUACCGCAUACGUCCUGAGGGAGAAAGUGGGGGAUCUUCGGAACUCACGCUAUCAGAUGAGCCUAGGUCGGAUUAGCUAGUGGGUGGGGUAAAGGCCUACCAAGGCGACGAUCCGUAACUGGUCUGAGAGGAUGAUCAGUCACACUGGAACUGAGACACGGUCCAGACUCCUACGGGAGGCAGCAGUGGGGAAUAUUGGACAAUGGGCGGAAGCCUGAUCCAGCCAUGCCGCGUGUGUGAAGAAGGUCUUCGGAUUGUAAAGCACUUUAAGUUGGGAGGAAGGGCAGUAAGUUAAUACCUUGCUGUUUUGACGUUACCAACAGAAUAAGCACCGGCUAACUUCGUG